GUUCGGCGCAGCUCAGUGACGGGGCGCGAGCUCGCGAGCGCGGAGGAGGCCGGGGGCCUGAGCCGGAGCCGGAGCGCGCGCCGCUGCCCAGCCCCGCCGCGCCGGCCCCGCAGAUGGUGACUCCGCGGCCCGCGCCCGCCCGGAGCCCCGCGCUCCUCCUCCUCCUGCUGCUGGCCACUGCGCGUGGGCAGGAACAGGACCAGACCACCGACUGGAGGGCCACCCUCAAGACCAUCCGCAACGGCAUCCACAAGAUAGACACGUACCUCAACGCCGCGCUGGACCUGCUGGGCGGGGAGGACGGGCUCUGCCAGUACAAGUGCAGCGACGGAUCGAAGCCUGUUCCACGCUAUGGAUAUAAACCAUCUCCACCAAAUGGCUGUGGCUCGCCACUGUUUGGCGUUCAUCUGAACAUAGGUAUCCCUUCCCUGACCAAGUGCUGCAACCAGCACGACAGAUGCUACGAGACCUGCGGGAAAAGCAAGAACGACUGUGACGAGGAGUUCCAGUACUGCCUCUCCAAGAUCUGCAGAGACGUGCAGAAGACGCUCGGACUAUCUCAGAACGUCCAGGACGGCCUCAUGCUGCAGCUCUGACUCUGACACCCAGGAAGCCCUGACCAGGAGGAGCUCGCCUCAGAUGAGCCAGGGGUCACUGCUUACACCCACCAGGGUGCUUAUGGCUACAGUCGCCACCUGAGGCACAGCCGGAUGGAUUUCUUGUCUUCUUAGCAUGUGAGACAACGGUGGAGCUCCUCUUUGACAGCGUCAUCCAUUUAGGCUGCAAGCCAUACCUGGACAGCCAGCGGGCUGCAUGCUGGUGUCGUUAUGAAGAAAAAACAGAUCUAUAAAGACCCUGACUGCUGGAGAGCAGGCGAGAAUGGAGGACCAUCCUUGCCAAAGAUCCGAUGCUUUAACAGCCUAAUGUUGCCUUAGUUUUGUGUUGACGGGUCAUUUUGAGACCUUUCUAUACUGUGUCUUUUUUUAGAACCUCAAAGUGAAAAUGGUGGGGGGCCAGGCAGAAACAGAGAGCAUGCUUGGGAUGGGGAGCGAGCAGGACAUCCAAGAGCAUGCCUUCCUGAGACUCGCUGUCGUGGUGGCUCCCCCAAACUGGGAAGAAAAGCUUAAGCCCGUGUGACUUGGUGUUCAUAGUUGUACUUAACAAUAAAAAUGAAAGCAAAUGUAAAAUUCAUUGUAAGGACUUUUCAGCAUUAUUUUAUUUUGAAAUACAGGCCAAUCUUCCCUUAGAACUAUUAUUUAUUUUGAAAUUUCAGAUGUACAUUUAUACCUGGAAAAACUAUUAAUUCUCCAUUUUUAUUAUACAUAACGUGUUGUUUCUCUGAAGCCCACUAAGAUAGGUAUAAAUAUGUUACUCACAACUACAAGGUUUCCAAGUGUGCAUCUCUUGUACAGUUGGAAUCACGGUUGAUACUUCUCUGGAGAGACGCCCCAGGACAUCUGAGUGUUGGGAUGUGCACAGAAUUCAGAAGCCCAGCUUCCUCAAACCGCUUAGAGCAAAUGUCCUUCCUCUCCUGCUGUGAGCUCUAGGAAUGACGGGUUUAACGGGCCAAGCCGAGCUCUGAAUCUGUGCGCUAUCUGCUGCUGAGGUUGUGGUUACUCCCUCAUCCCCGUUUUCCAUCUUCUAUCCUGGAGUAGUGUUAAAAGUCUGACAUUUUCUAAUGGAGGUCUUAAUAAACGCUAUUUACUUCUUAGUAAUCUC